rnacentral:rRNA from 1 species
AUUGAACGCUGGCGGCAUGCUUUACACAUGCAAGUCGAACGAGCGGAGAAGUGGUGAGUAAUAUAUUGGCACGUACCGAGUAAUGGGGGAUAACCAAUCGAAAGAUUGGCUAAUACCGCAUAUUAUGCGAGCGGCCGAUAAGUGAUUUGCUAGUUGGGGGGGUAAAGGCCUACCAAGGCGACGAGCGGUAGCGGGUCUGAGAGGAGGAUGCGUCACACUGGGACUGAGACAAGGCCCAGACUCCUACGGGAGGCAGCAGUGGGGAAUUUUGGACAAUGGGGGCAACCCUGAUCCAGCCAUGCCGCGUGUAUGAAGAAGGCCUUCGGGUUGUAAAGUAUUUUUGUUAGGGAAGCGGUACCUAAAGAAUAAGCACCGGCUAACUACGUGCCAGCAGCCGCGGUAAUAC